rnacentral:tmRNA from 1 species
GGGGCUGUAAUGGUUUCGACGGGCUUAAUGAAGUAGAGGUAGCAUGUCAUGGUUGCGCAUGUAAAAACGCCGAGGUUUUAAAUAACCGGAAGACAACAAAAUUUAUCUUACGCUUGCUAAGAAAAUAAGCGUAGCUCUUGUUGGUGCUCUCCCAUGGCAUCAAUUAAGGGCUCAUUCUAAUGGGAUGGCUAAUUUGGGUGCAACCAUAACCUAAUUUAGUGAGAUUAAUAGGGUUAGCUGUAGGUUUUUGUGUUUGUACAUUGCUUAUAGUGAAAUUGAUUACAAACUAAACAUGUAGAAGCCUAUAUGGAUUUAUUUUCGGACAGGGGUUCAACUCCCCUCAGCUCCACCA